rnacentral:misc_RNA from 1 species
AGGAGGAGGAGGAGGAGAAGGAGAGAAAGAGAGAGAGAGAGGAAAAAGAAAAGAAAGAAAAAAAAAAUAAAUUAAAGCUACGAGAAACAAUCACCUCGUGAAUCAAAUUUAGCAACUCAUAAUCCAAAUUUGACUCAAUAAACCCAUUUAAUUUCACAGAAAAACCCCCAAUUCCCAAAGCACUCGUAAAACCCUAAUUGUAAAAGGCAAUCUUGAAGCAAAAACAAAUCAGAAGGACAUAACCGAGAGGUUUUAUUUUAUCCCGAAAAACAAACAGAAAGAAAACGAGAUUAGAAAGCAGCAGAAGAAGAAACUGAAUUCCCACAAAUUAAAAUCCCAGAAAAAUCAAGAGAAGAGGUAGAAAAAUUGCAGAGGGCAACAAAGGAAAUAAGGAACAGAGAUCUAAUUCGAAGGAGAGCGCUCUCUCUCUCUCUAAAAAAUAUAUAUAUAUAUAAUCGUUUCUCUCUCUAACAGCUUCACAGAGU